rnacentral:rRNA from 1 species
AGAGUUUUGAUCCUGGCUCAGGAUGAACGCUGCGGCGUGCCUAACACAUGCAAGUCGAACGAAGCACGCCCUCCGAGGGCCUUCGGGCGGAGGGGGCGAUGACUUAGUGGCGGACGGGUGAGUAACGCGUGGGUAACCUGCCCUAUACUGGGGGAGUAACAGCUAGAAAUGGCUGCUAAUACCGCAUGAGCGCACAGUCCCGCAUGGGACAGUGCGGAAAACUCCGGUGGUAUAGGAUGGACCCGCGUCCGAUCAGCUGGUUGGUGGGGUAACGGCCCACCAAGGCGACGAUCGGUAGCCGACCUGAGAGGGUGACCGGCCACAUUGGGACUGAGACACGGCCCAAACUCCUACGGGAGGCAGCAGUGGGGGAUAUUGCACAAUGGGGGGAACCCUGAUGCAGCGACGCCGCGUGAGUGAAGGAGUACUCCGGUAUGUAAAGCUCUACCAGCAGGGAAGAAGCAAGACGGUACCUGACCAAGAAGCCCCGGCUAACUACGUG